rnacentral:lncRNA from 1 species
AUCUAUCAAUUAUCCAAAUUACGCUAAUAUUACUAUGAUCCCAUAAUUAUAAUUAAAUUAACACAAAUUAAAAUAAUCCUCUGUCAAUUUAUUCCAUAUAUUAAACCUAUAUACAUUAAGAAACUAUUCCAUAUAUUAAAAUAAUCCUCAAUCAGUUUUAAAAAUCAGAUCUGGUGAAAUCAUUCACUAACAAAUUUCAUAGGAAUAAAGAUGGAUGGCGAUAAAAAAAAUGGGGACGGGGAUAUGGAGAGAGGAUAACGGCAACGGCGUGAGGGUGCGCCUAGGUUGACAGGUAGGUCGCGUGUGGGUGGAUUUAUUUUUCGAUGGUUCUCCAUCAGAUCUGGAGCAAAGGAGGGUGGCUGGUGCGGUGCUUUGACGUGUUUCCGGUGUGUAGAUUCACUAAUAGGACAUCAAAAACAAGGGAGAGGGAUGGUCGAAGCGGCGUAGGGAGGGGGAAAAGGCACGUGGGAAUGGCUAUCUUGCCGUGUGGUGGAAGUUUCGGUCAGAUUUGAUCCUCCCAUGGUGUGGCAAGGACUAGGAAAGAUGAGAAUAAGGUGGCGCAGCGGCGGGAUGCGCCGGAUGUUCGCUAAUGACUAAUUUCUGGUAUGAAAAAUAAAGUUUCCGGCGACGUAUCGCAGGAAAAAAUUAAAUUUUUUUAUCUGGUUUAUAUCUCGCAUUAUUUUUAUUCAUCUGAUGUUUACUCAAUUUCUAUGUUGUAUACGGAUAUGUGUACAAUAUAUGACUGAACUAUGAUUUUUAUUUUAAACAACAUGAUGUGACAGUGAAUAUAAAAUUUUCUCCUCAUACAGAUAUAUUGAUAUUCAAUAUCAUAAUUGUAUCCCAUAUAGUAAUAACAAUUUACAUAAUUAUUCAACUAGACAUACUAGAUAAUGCAUAAAAAUUACUUGGAUAUUCUCAUUCAUACUUUUCUACAGUAAACUUACAACAUAGAUGAUUUAGAUUCGAAUAAAAAUCUUUAAUUAAUUCAAACGGAAUAAUGAAGCAAGGAAAUAAUCGUCAUUGGAAACUUCAAUCGAAAACUCUUGAAGUCUCUUUUUAUCUGAUAUUUUUUCUUACUGAUUUUUUUAGUUUUUUUUUUUCUCGGGUUUCUGCUCUCUGAUUUUCACUGUCUGAUUUCUGAUCUUGUCCAGGUAAAAGUACGUAGAAUCUAUUUAAAUAAUGGAUUUAGGGGGUGGGAGCAAUUAUUUUUUAGGAGGGAACUAUCCAUCAACAGAUAAGGCAAAGGAGUUUUUAAAAUUCAAAUUUUUAUAUAUAUAUUUUUAUUUUAUAUUUAAAUAGAAAAUAUUAGUAAUAAUAAUAAUAAAUAAAUAAAUAAAUAAAAUAAAUAAAAAUAAUAAUAAAAUUUAAGAAAAAUACAAUAAAAUUAUAAAUAAAAAAAUAAAUAUAAUAAAAUAAUGUUAAAAUUACUAAUUUAUUUAUUAAAAAUUAGAAAAGAAAAAUAUUUUUAAUUUUUGUAUUAUUUUUAAAAAUAGAAUAAUAAUAAUAAUAAUAAUAAUAAUAAUAAAAUGAUAAUAAAAUAAAAUAUCUUAAAAUUAACUUAUUUAAUUACUGAUUUUUUAAAUUAAAAUUUAAUUAAAAUUAAAAUUAAAUAAGAAAUUAAAUAAUAUUAUACCAAAUAUAGAUAUUUAAUAUCGAAAAUAAAUUAAAAUUCGAGGAGGGUCAAAAAUCACGUGUCUACAUUUGUUAGGAUUUUUACCCUGAUUUUCUUAACAAGUUUAAAUUUUACUUUCCUUGAAAGAAAAAUAAAAGUAAUACUAUAAUUAUUUUUACUUAUCUUGAAAGAAAAUAUAAAACUUUUUCAUAUUUGACAAACUUUUUUUCUUGAAGGAAAGAUUUUGGACAUAUAUAAAUAAAAGACCCCUCUUCUCAUAUCACAAUACAAUAACAUCCACAAUGUAGUUAUUAAAGAGUUUGUUUAGGGGGAGAUUUCUCCCAAUUGAUUUUAUAUUUUUUCAAUAUUAGUUUUAAAUGUAGGUCAUUUGACCAACUAUAUCAAUAAUAUGUUUUUAGUAUUAUAUAUGUUUUUCUUUGUCAUCUGAUUUAUAUUUCUAUAGUUUGCAAACUUUAAGCUUCCGCAUAACGCCACUAGAUUUCGAACCCAACAAUGUGUUCAUUAAAAUUCAUUAAAUUGUUUACCUUCUGACUUUUUAUAAAGAAAAAAGUGUAUUUUGUUUUAGUUAUGUGCUUUUGUUUUCCCUCAUCUUAGCAUUUUGUUUGUACUUUAUAGAUCUUUAGACAUGAUAUUUAAGAAAAUGAUGUAUAGUUGUUAUUUUACUCAUAAAAUUCUUUCCCGUGCACACCAAUACAACUCUAAAUACAUUUUUUCUUUUAGGAUAAUGUAAGUCCUCUACCCUUUGGUGGCCCACUUCAUGGGUGCAAAGAACAAUGAAGAGUUAAACUAAGUUUUUCUAUGUUUGUCUGAUGAGCUCUUCAGCUUGGCUAUAACUGACAGUAGAACUUCAGAUGAUCCAAAUAGUCAAAAUUUCUUUUGAGGUUUGCAUUGUUUAUUAUGCAUCUAUUUGUCUUUGUGGCAACACAGAUUUCUAGGCAGGUAGGCAACAACUGCCUGUGGCGCA